GGGCUCACUUUGGCAGCACAUAUACUAAAAUUGGAAUGAUGCAGAGAAGAUUAGCAUGGCCCCUGUGAAGGAUGACAUGCAAAUUCAUGAAGCAUUCCAUAUUAAA
rnacentral:snRNA from 3 species